UUCAAAAUUCUACUGAGGUUGCUACCUCUAAUUCACCGACCAAUCUCCGUCGUGUCUUCUCCAUCUUACGUGACAUUGGCGAAAUCAUCUGUGCUAUUCGGCACUAGUGAAAGCCAAUAAUUCUAAAUUCAUUCAUAUUCAGUAGUUUUAGUCUGUUU